rnacentral:rRNA from 1 species
CUCUCUUCGGAGAGUGCAUAGAGUGGCGCACGGGUGAGUAACACGUAAGUAAUCUACCUUCGAGUGGGGAAUAACUUAGGGAAACUUAAGCUAAUACCGCAUAAUGCAGCGGCUCGACAUCGAGACAGUUGUUAAAGGAGCAAUCCGCCUUUUGUAGCAGCCUGCGGCAGAUUAGCUAGUUGUAAGGUAAUGGCUUACCAAGGCUACGAUCUGUAACCGUCCUGAGAGGGUGGUCGGUCACACUGACACUGAAUAACGGGUCAGACUCCUACGGGAGGCAGCAGUCGGGAAUUUUGGGCAAUGGGCGAAAGCCUGACCCAGCAACGCCGCGUGAAGGAUGAAGUAUUUCGGUAUGUAAACUUCGUAAGAAUAGGAAGAAUAAAUGACGGUACUAUUUGUAAGGUCCGGCUAACUACGUG